rnacentral:rRNA from 1 species
UACGUAGGUGACCAGCGUUGUCCGGAUUUACUGGGCGUAAAGAGCGCGAGGCGGUCGUUCAAGUCGAGUGUGAAAGCCCCCGGCUCAACUGGGGAGGGUCACUCGAUACUGAUCGACUUGAAGGCAGGAGAGGGAAGCGGAAUUCCCGGUGUAGUGGUGAAAUGCGUAGAUAUCGGGAGGAACACCAGUGGCGAAGGCGGCUUCCUGGCCCUGUUGUU